GCCGGCUUAGCUCAGCGGUAGAGCAACUGAUUCGUAAUCAGUAGGCCCGGGGUUCGAUUCCCCGAGCCGGCACCA
rnacentral:tRNA from 1 species